AGCUCCAAUAGCGUAUAUUUAAGUUGUUGCAGUUAAAAAGCUCGUAGUUGGACCUUGGGCUGGGCCGGCCGGUCCGCCCCACGGUGUGCACCGGCCUUCCCGUCCCUUCUGCCGGCGAUGCGCUCCUGUCCUUAACUGGACGGGUCGUGCCUCCGGCGCCGUUACUUUGAAGAAAUUAGAGUGCUCAAAGCAAGCCCACGCUCUGGAUACAUUAGCAUGGGAUAACAUCACAGGAUUUCGGUCCUAUUGUGUUGGCCUUCGGGAUCGGAGUAAUGAUUAAGAGGGACAGCCGGGGGCAUUCGUAUUUCAUAGUCAGAGGUGAAAUUCUUGGAUUUAUGAAAGACGAACCACUGCGAAAGCAUUUGCCAAGGAUGUUU
rnacentral:rRNA from 1 species